AUGGGACCCCAAUGGGCCUGUAGAAACCAAUGGGACCCAAUCGGAACCAGAACCCAACCAGAACCGACCCAUAAUGGACCCCUAAUAGAACCCAAUGGACCCCAAUGGACCCCAAUAGACCCCAAUGGACUCCAAAGGACCACUAAUAGGAUCCAAUGGGACCCCAAUGGGCCUGUAGAACCCAAUGGGAACCAAUCGGAACCAGAACCAGAACCGACCCAUAAUGGACCCCUAAUAGAACCCAAUGGACCCCAAUGGGACCCAAUGGACCCCAAUGGACCCCAAUGGGCUACAAUGGACCCAAAGGGACCCAAAGGACCCCACAGUGACCCCAAAUGGACCCAAAUGGACCCAAAGGACCCCACUGUGACCCCAAAUGGACCCAAAGGGACCCAAUGGGACCCUAAGGGACCCCAAAUGACCCCAAAUGGACCCAAAUGGACCCAAAGGACCCCACUGU
rnacentral:lncRNA from 1 species